UACGGGGGGGGCAAGCGUUGUUCGGAAUUAUUGGGCGUAAAGAGCUCGUAGGCGGUCUGUCGCGUCUGCUGUGAAAACUCGGGGCUUAACCCCGGGCCUGCAGUGGGUACGGGCAGACUAGAGUGCGGUAGGGGAGACUGGAAUUCCUGGUGUAGCGGUGAAAUGCGCAGAUAUCAGGAGGAACACCGGUGGCGAAGGCGGGUCUCUGGGCCGUAACUGACGCUGAGGAGCGAAAGCAUGGGGAGCGAACAGG
rnacentral:rRNA from 1 species